GAUGAACGCUGGCGGCGUGCCUAACACAUGCAAGUCGAACGGAGGUAUCGCGCUGAAGAUCGAGAUGCUUGCAUUAAGAGAAUCUUGUGAUAGCUUAGUGGCGGACGGGUGAGUAACGUGUGGAUAACCUGGUCCAUCCAGGGGGAUAGCAGCUGGAAACGGCUGGUAAUACCGCAUGAGCGCACACUACCGCUUUUUAGAGUGUUUUAAGAUUUAUCGGGAUGGAAUGGAUCCGCAUCUGAUUAGCCAGUUGGCGGGGUAGAAGCCCACCAAAGCGACGAUCAGUAGCCGGCCUGAGAGGGCGGACGGCCACAUUGGGACUGAGACACGGCCCAGACUCCUACGGGAGGCAGCAGUGGGGAAUAUUGCACAAUGGGGGAAACCCUGAUGCAGCGAUGCCGCGUGGAGGAGAAGGUUUCGGAUUGUAACUCCUGUCUUAAAGGACGAUAUGACGGUACUUUAGAGAGCUCCGGCUACUACUGCCAGCAGCCGCGUAUACGUAGGAGCGAGCGUUGUCCGGAAUUACUGGGUGUAAAGGGAGCGUAGCGGAUGCAGCCAAUGUGAACUAUGGCCCCCCAAAACGAUUUAAUCUUGUUCUUUUUGUAAAGGAGGAAUCUGGUCGGAAUCAUAAGAACUUGGAGGUGUUUGCUGUACGCGAACG
rnacentral:rRNA from 1 species